rnacentral:rRNA from 1 species
GACGAACGCUGGCGGCGUGCUUAACACAUGCAAGUCGAACGGAAAGGCCCUGCUUGCAGGGUACUCGAGUGGCGAACGGGUGAGUAACACGUGGGUGAUCUGCCCUGCACUUCGGGAUAAGCCUGGGAAACUGGGUCUAAUACCGGAUAGGAGCCAUUUUUAUUGUGAUGGUUGGAAAGUUUUUUUCGGUGUAGGAUGAGCUCGCGGCCUAUCAGCUUGUUGGUGGGGUAAUGGCCUACCAAGGCGGCGACGGGUAGCCGGCCUGAGAGGGUGGACGGCCACAUUGGGACUGAGAUACGGCCCAGACUCCUACGGGAGGCAGCAGUGGGGAAUAUUGCACAAUGGGCGCAAGCCUGAUGCAGCGACGCCGCGGGGGGGAUGACGGCCUUCGGGUUGUAAACUCCUUUCGCUAGGGACGAAGCUUUUUGUGACGGUACCUAGAUAAGAAGCACCGGCUAACUACGUG